GGGCCGCCCAAGCCCCCGGCGCGGGGCGGGAACCGGGAAUGCGGGCAGGGACCGGGAAUUCCGGCAGAGACUGGGAAUUCCGGCAGGAACAAAGGAAUUGGGGCAGGGACUGGGAAUGCGGGCAGGUACCGGGAGCCCGGGCAGGUCAUGGAUCCCGGGCAGUGCAUCUGAAGAAAAAGACAUAAAAGUUUUGUGACUGAGAAAAUAAGAGCAAAGCCAAGACUCCUAUUUACCUCAUUAUGUUGCUCUCUUAAGUGAAUAAUUAAUAGGAGAUCUGAACCUCUGUGAAGUAACUUUAUACUUAUGAGCAGAAGAGGAGCCACUGAAAGUUGAAGAAUAUCAAUACAGAAAUCUAAUCUUUGUGAAUCAUGCAAGCUGGCAAGGACGUCUGUAUCAGCUUCAGUCUGAGAAACAGGUCUGUUCUAUAGGUGGCACUUAACAAUCUACUUCACUUUAGCAUGUGCUUAAUUUUGCUGAUUUGAGUGACCUUGCUUAGGAAUUAAACAGGCAGGAUUUGACCCUUGACAAGACAAGAAAUUAGGCAUCUCAGGAAGUUCCAUGUUCCCCGUUUUUUGAUUAGUUGGUUAGCCCUGUUAAUUAACACUUUCAUUUCCAUUGCACUGUCCACACAGUCUUUUUCCUUUGACUGUGAUAGUUUCCUACCUGCUGUUCUGCAGAGUUUGAUGAAAAUUCAGCUGCUGUGAGGAACAUGUGGCAUCAACAGUCUGUGAUGACUCAACAGCUGGCAGAUGGCCCUAUGCUUUUGCUGAGUAAGCUGUUAUUCCUGAGUUUGCAAUUUAAUGGCUUAUAUUUUGCUAGAAAAAUUUAUACCAUGGUGUGGCAAGUAAAGAGAAGUCACAAUAACUCUCACAUUUCUCCUACCUAUCGUUUUUUUUUUCCUGGUUUUGUACCAGACUAAAAUAAGACUUUAAAGCAGUGGUCUCUUUUUCAACAUCUGAGAAUCUCUCAUACAUCUGUUUCUUUGAGGUAUUUCUAACUAAUACAUUGAAUUAUAAAGGACAAAAGAAAGAACCUGAUGUUAUUUUUUAAAAUGAUUAUAAUAGAAAAUAUUAUGAAUGAGGAGCUAUGCCUUUGUAGAAGUAGCAAUUUUUGCUGGACUGAAUUUCUGUCUCAGAAUUCUCAGACCUUUCAGUCUGAGACCUUUUUUUUACUAUCAGUAGAAACACUGCACUGUACAAUAGGAAAUAAAAUAAAGAUUUCACAAGGUUUUACAUUUUUCUUUACCCAGAUACACUAAAUUUUUAUCUUAAUCUUGAAAUAUUGUAACAAGGCAUGGGAUUAUCUUAAAAAGAGCUUAGUCUGCUGCUACCUCCAUAUUUGCAAAGAAACUUAGAAAACCCAGCCUGGGAAACCUUAUUUUAAUAUAGUUCUGAGUAUACAGUUCAUUACUGUCACUAAGACACUCAGAUUUAGCUUGACUUAAAUGUCAGAAAAUAUUAUUCAGGUGUGGAAGACACCAAAGAUCACAGCUAACUGGUAUAUUGAAUCUUAAUUAGCAGGGAGACCAUAUCAAACUCAGAAGCUUCUAUGAACUAAGAAAACAACCCUGACAUUCUCUGCUCAGCUCUGGAUAUUUGUUACUGACUUUGAUCUCCAGUGAUAAUCUCCAAAGACUCAGGAUUCUGGCUUGCUUAAAAAUUGGGUUUACUUUCAAACUUUGCUGUGAAGACAUUAUUACCAUAUAACUGGAGGGACUGGAACCUCAUAAAAAGUGCUUUAUUUCCCAUUAUGAGAGUUAGAGUUUAGGCAACACCAUUACAUAAAGCAAAGCUUGUUUCUUCUCUGCAGCUCAGUUUACUUAGUAUUUAAUAUAUUCUGUGCAUUGACACUGUGUCCUGUUUUGUUUUUUUUUUUUUAACAAUCAUAGGGUUUUUUGUUGGUCCCAUUAUGUUGAGAAAAUAUCACAAUAUUUUUAAAAGAUAUAAUAAACAAAUAGUUGUGAAAUGGCCUAAUGCAUUAUUCUUUGCCUGAGUUAGGACCACAGUUCACAUCAAAGUUAAUGGACUCAUCUGACAACUAGAAAAAAACCCAGUUUUUUCUUUUAGGUUUUCUUCUUGGAUAUUUGUUCUUGGCAGGAUUAUUUCUUAUUAAAUUGUUCUUUUUCCUAAUCUCAGAAGGGACACAUGCAGUGAGUGAACAAGCAGACUUUGUAGCUCAUGCAUCUGAACUGCAGCUAAUAAAAUGCAGACUCUCUUGCUGAAAUUGCAGCUAAAUUUGCAUUUUUAAGAAGUCUGUUGUCAUGACUAAUUACAUAAUUUCACUUUUUUAAAUGAGAACAUUAUGGGAACAACCUGUGCAAGACUGCCUCAAACUUCAGAUUAUUUGGACUCUUAUUAUGGUAAAGUUUAUGAAUUUACGAUGUGAUCUUGAAAAAUACUUUAGAUGCUCAGAAGCCUGAGGUGAGUUUAGCUUUUAUUUGAGAUGACCACAUUAAAUGUUAUCUCAUACUUCUGUUGUAAUUUUAUUGGCAUCACAUCACCUGUGUUAUAAAAAAAUUAUUGGGGUAUCAGAAUCUAUUUCUUUCUUCCUGACGUUUCCAUUGUUAUGAAAACCAAAGUUGAAAUCUCACAUCAAAGA